AGACAGUGCCUUUCAGGCAUCCUCUCCCAAAACUUCCACGGCCUGGUCGGCAACGACCGGGCCUUUUUUUUGCCUUGC
rnacentral:sRNA from 1 species